CUUGUUAGUUGUUACCCAAUUCAAUAUACAAUUUUCUCUCAGUUUAUUCAUGAAAUCGUAUAUUCUAGAAAUGCAUCCAUACAUUCAUCCUUUAUAUUUUGCGAAUCCAGAAACUUCGUUACACAUUGUCCUGCCUUUACUCUAGAAGGGCAUGAGUUUUGGGGAGUAGUGAAAUCGUGCUCCUGCCCUUUCACAAUUGCAACGAUGUCUAAACCUUGGCCGAGGAUAUCGGGGAGGUAAUCUGAGUUUUGUCACAGUUGUCUUGUUAUCUCAAAUCUCAUUAUUCGCACAAAAUUUCUAUGCGGCCAAACGCUGUGUAUUACUACAAGGAUAUGCAUCCGCUAAAUGUACGAAAGUUUGGAGCAGGCCCUCGGAGACCACACUCUUGUAUUUUCGGAUGCUAUAAUUUGAUUGAUGCUAUACAGCGAGGAGAGAAACUAAUGGAGCCUGUAAGCCAGCUCUAGAAUCUAAUUUCAUCACAUUACUGCAAGCAAGAAAGUAUUGUAGUUUCAGUGGUAUCAAGUUGCAUAAUGUUACGGAUACUCAGGAGAAAGCUGGGGGUGUUUGGGGUUGAGGCAGAUAGCGCAUGAAAAUCUGUGAGGUGAAGACAAAGGGUAGGUUGUUAUGCUUGACGUAAAUUGGUCAAUGGGUACUUAUCUACAGAGUAAUAUACAUGCUGGAAUUGAUCAUCCUGCUUUUGAAGGCGUUUUGACCAAAUCAACCUGAUUAAGCUUGCUGGUUACCUGGUUACAUAUUACGUGAUACAGGAACAACAGGGAUGUACAAGAGCACCAGAUGACUACGUUUCUUUUGUUGGCCUCCUUGCAGAUCCACACUAUUUUGAUUAUCUCACUAUGGAGGAGAAUGCUCCUGAAAAAGAGAUUUUACCAGUGAUUAACGUUCCUCCUAACUCUCCCUCCCUCUUGGGUUAUUUUAGAUAUUAGUAUUCAAUGUAAUCUUCUUGCAUGUUCAAACUUUUAAAACUACAGUGUUGGUGGAACUUUUGUGUCAAUUUUCAUGAAACAUCCCAUGAUUGAACUGAUAUUGUGCCCCUAUAUACUUUUGUUGUCACCUCAUCCUGUAGGUGUUCAUCAUUGGAAGAGUAAAGCAGGUAAAGAAGGGCUGAAGCCAUUAUAAGAAAAUGUGGAUGGAGCCUUUUUUGUGCAUGAUUUUGACAGAACAAUGGUUUGGUUAAUGAAACACCUUACCAAAAUAUUAUGAGCAUAAGAUGUGGUUUAUUAAGAGAUUAACGAUCUCGGAUUUACGGACUUGUUUUUUAAAAGCUUUAUUUGAGUGGAUAUCUGCUGCUGCCUUUCUCCAUAU